GAUGAACGCUGGCGGCGUGCCUAAUACAUGCAAGUCGAGCGAACGGACGAGAAGCUUGCUUCUCUGAUGUUAGCGGCGGACGGGUGAGUAACACGUGGAUAACCUACCUAUAAGACUGGGAUAACUUCGGGAAACCGGAGCUAAUACCGGAUAAUAUUUUGAACCGCAUGGUUCAAAAGUGAAAGACGGUCUUGCUGUCACUGAUAGAUGGAUCCGCGCUGCAUUAGCUAGUUGGUAAGGUAACGGCUUACCAAGGCAACGAUGCAUAGCCGACCUGAGAGGGUGAUCGGCCACACUGGAGCUGAGACACGGUCCAGACUCCUACGGGAGGCAGCAGUAGGGAAUCUUCCGCAAUGGGCGAAAGCCUGACGGAGCAACGCCGCGUGAGUGAUGAAGGUCUUCGGAUCGUAAAACUCUGUUAUUAGGGAAGAACAUAUGUGUAAGUAACUGUGCACAUCUUGACGGUACCUAAUCAGAAAGCCACGGCUAACUACGUG
rnacentral:rRNA from 1 species